GACGAACGCUGGCGGCGUGCUUAACACAUGCAAGUCGUACGGUAAGGCCCUUUCGGGGGUCCACGAGUGGCGAACGGGUGAGUAACACGUGAGUAACCUGCCCACAACUUUGGGAUAACGCUAGGAAACUGGUGCUAAUACUGGAUAUGUGCUCCUGCUGCAUGGUGGGGGUUGGAAAGCUCCGGCGGUUGUGGAUGGACUCGCGGCCUAUCAGCUUGUUGGUGGGGCAGUGGCCUACCAAGGCGGCGACGGGUAGCCGGCCUGAGAGGGUGACCGGCCACAUUGGGACUGAGAUACGGCCCAGACUCCUACGGGAGGCAGCAGUGGGGAAUAUUGCACAAUGGGCGCAAGCCUGAUGCAGCAACGCCGCGUGCGGGAUGACGGCCUUCGGGUUGUAAACCGCUUUCAGCAGGGACGAAGCUUUUUGUGACGGUACCUGCAGAAGAAGCACCGGCUAACUACGUG
rnacentral:rRNA from 1 species